UUUCGCAUUGUUUUUUCGCUCAGACUCAUUGCAAGCAAGAUUUUAAAGGCCUCUGGCGGGCGCUCACCAGCCGGGGCCGGUGGCAGCAGGGCCGCGGCCCGCCAAAGCAACAGUGUUGGUAGUCAAGGGGUGGAGAUGGCUCCCGGGGGAGUCGCAACUCUGUAAUGAUCCUUCCGCAGGUUCACCUAAAAUUUUAUGUUAGCGACAGGUCACAGAUCACAACGUGGGAUUUUUGAUGUACUCACCUACGAAAA
rnacentral:misc_RNA from 1 species